rnacentral:lncRNA from 1 species
UUUUAUCUCCAUCGUCCCUCAAACAAGAUCCAAUGGCCUGGAACUAGCCUUUUGUUCCCAUAAAAGUAUCCUAAAUAGCCUACCCCACCCCAAGAGACCCCGCUCAGACUCCUCCUCACCCUCACUGUUGUCCACCGCUCGCUGCCCGCCAAAAAUCGUCCACGGCGGCGGUACCACUCCAAACCACCCCAAAUUGUCACCCUACAAUCCCUAGCCCUUCAUCUGUCUAAAUCCACUACUCGUUUCUCUCAAAUUCCACCCAAAUUCCACGAUUAGUAGAUCUAGGUAUUAAAACCAAAUUUGUCCCUUUUUCAAUUUCUCAGCCUUUUUUAAUUCGUUUUGACUUGAAACUUACGUUGAUCGAUUGCUCUUGACGAGAGCAAUUGAUUGGCGUUAGUUUUAGCUCACUUCCAGGUCACCAGAGAUCGGUCAAAUCUCGUUGACCGGCCAGAAUUCACUCUUCUCCAUUGCUCGCCGGAGUCUUUUCACCAUUGGAUUUCAACUCACUCACCGGAUUUGUUUAUGUUGACUGGUAUACUACUUUUUCCAUUUUCUCUAAUUUUGUCUAAUGACCACAUAUUGACAUUUAUAUUUAAGUAGGUUUAAUUAAUAGUUUGGAUUAAUUGGUGAUUAGUUGUUUGAUUUUAGUUUAGUUGCAUAUUUGGUCAAUUGCUUUAUAAUUAAUUAAGUUUUGAUUGCAUAUGAGAUUGUUUGUUUGCAGUAGAUUAUUGAUCUGUUCUAGUUCAUUUGGGCAAAAGAAUUGGCCUGCCAUUUUUUAACAGGCCGGCCAGUUAAGUGGGAGUUUAGGUAUGAGCCUGUUAGUCAGAGGUAAAUAUAAGGAUAAAAAGAUAAAAUUAGGGAAUUACUUGAAGUAAUUUUUAGCUUAAUCGGUGGAGAAGCUUCUAGAAGAGAGUAAAAAGGACCUGUUAGCAAUAAAAAGCUGGAGAGGUCGGGGGUGAGGGAGAAAAAUAGCAGAAAUUAGGAGGGGUAAAAGAAAAGGGAGCAAACUAAAAGAUGCUGAAAUUUAUUCUAUAUAACAGACUGCUCACAUUCACUAUGAUAUUCACACCCAUUCACUCUCAUACAUUCUCACUCACGCACUUCUUACCAAAGAGAGAUGAAAACAGGUUUUGAAAUUCAAAAUUCCCUUUCUGAGAUUUGAAAUUUCCAGCUUUAAAAACUGAGAGGAAAAACACAAAAACAAUAAAAGUUUAGGCUGAUUUUCAUACUCAAAAAUGAUUAACUGCUAUUGAUUGAUUCAAGAAGGUCUUCUAUACUAUUUUCCUAGAUUUUCAUGUAGUUUUUAGUCCAUAUUUGAAGUUGUGUUGUGUUCUGCUUAGUUGAGUCCUGUCCUUUUAUCUCUCGCUUUUAUUGGGCUAAUUGUAGCCUGGUUUAUUACUAUCCAGGUACUUCUUUCAGUCUCAGAUCAUGUACUUGCCAAUGUGGAUGCCAUGACGUUAUAA